rnacentral:rRNA from 1 species
UGGGGAAUAUUGGACAAUGGGCGCAAGCCUGAUCCAGCCAUGCCGCGUGAGUGAUGAAGGCCCUAGGGUUGUAAAGCUCUUUCACCGGUGAAGAUAAUGACGGUAACCGGAGAAGAAGCCCCGGCUAACUUCGUGCCAGCAGCCGCGGUAAUACGAAGGGGGCUAGCGUUGUUCGGAUUUACUGGGCGUAAAGCGCACGUAGGCGGACUUUUAAGUCAGGGGUGAAAUCCCGGGGAUCAACCCCGGAACUGCCUUUGGUACUGGAAGUCUUGAGUAUGGUAGAGGUGAGUGGAAUUCCGAGUGUAGAGGUGAGAUUCGUAGAUAUUCGGGGGAACACCAGUGGCGAAGGCGGCUCACUGGACCAUUACUGACGCUGAGGUGCGAAAGCGUGGGGAGCAAACAGG